UUGAAGAAAGUGUCCUACAGCAGAAGGCUAGAGCAAAAUGGAUACAACUUGGAGAUACUAAUACCAAGUACUUUACUGCAGUCCUGAAAGAAAGAAGAAUAAACAGAUCACGGAACUCAUAAGAAGAAUAAACAGAUCACGGAACUCAUAAAUGUAGUGGGAGUCAAAGUCAUUACAGCUGCAGAUAUAAAAAAGGAGAUCACUGGUUUCUAUAAGACACGUAUGGGAUCAUCAGCUUCAUUUCUUCCAGCAAUAAAUAGAAUGUAUAUGACAAAUGGUCCAGUCCUAACACAGCAGCAAAGAAGGG
rnacentral:lncRNA from 1 species